CCCUCAGAGCCGCCGCCUCAGCCCUUCCCUCGGGCCGGGGCCUCGGGCUCCGCUCGGCUCUAACGGCGGCUUCGGGGCGAUGGUUGCACCCACAGAACCCCCUCCCUGGCAAUGUGGGGCGAACAGAGCGCCCUCCGGCCCGGUUUCACCUCACAGUCGGCUCCUCCGUUGUGCCAGUCGGCCCUUGGCCGCGCUUGCUCCCGUCUGGGAAGCUGCUGUAGGAAGGGCACUCUCCUGGAGUCCUUCAUCCAGCUCUGGAGCAACAGCACAAGAGGGACAUGGAGCUGUUGGAGCGAGUUCAGAGGAGGCCACAGAGAUGGGACAGUGAUUUCUGGAAAAGACAACAACUUUACCUCCGGACUUUCAGAACCUGACCCAGAUGGCAGCUAUAAUUGUGAUGAGAGCACAGAAAAAAUGAACAUAAAUACAUCCAACUGUGUAAUAAGAAUAAAUACCUUGUCAAUUUGGUUAAUGUCAGGAUUGAGCACUGAACAUCUGGAUGUACUUUAUCUCAGGAGCUGGGAAACUCUUCUCAGGAUUGUACCAGGGCACAUCCCCACCAUGUCCUGCAGUUCAAGUGUUUGACGUUGCUGCAGCAGAGAUUGCUGAUCUUG